rnacentral:rRNA from 1 species
GACGAACGCUGGCGGCGUGCUUAACACAUGCAAGUCGAACGGAAAGGCCCUGCUUUUGUGGGGUGCUCGAGUGGCGAACGGGUGAGUAACACGUGAGUAACCUGCCCUUGACUUUGGGAUAACUUCAGGAAACUGGGGCUAAUAACGGAUAGGAGCUCCUGCUGCAUGGUGGGGGUUGGAAAGUUUCGGCGGUUGGGGCUGGACUCGCGGCUUAUCAGCUUGUUGGUGGGGUAGUGGCAUACCAAGGCUUUGACGGGUAGCCGGCCUGGGAGGGUGACCGGCCACAUUGGGACUGAGAUACGGCCCAGUCUCCUACGGGAGGCAGCGGAGGGGAGUGGUGUACAAUGGGCGGAAGCCUGAUGCAGCAACGCCACGUGCGGGAUGACGGCCAUCGGGUUGUAAACCGCUUUCGCCUUAGACGAAGGGUGUGUGACGGUAAUGUGUAAAGAAGCACCGGCUAACUACGUG